rfam:Vitrella brassicaformis CCMP3155 genome assembly, contig: scaffold380
GGCGGGGUAGAGCAGCGCGGUACAGCUCAUCGGGCUCAUGACCCGGAGGUCAGUGGUUCGACCCCACUCCCCGCUC